AUUGAACGCUGGCGGAAUGCUUUACACAUGCAAGUCGAACGGCAGCACGGGAGCUUGCUCCUGGUGGCGAGUGGCGAACGGGUGAGUAAUAUAUCGGAACGUACCCUAGAGUGGGGGAUAACGCAGCGAAAGUUGCGCUAAUACCGCAUACGAUCUACGGAUGAAAGUGGGGGAUCGCAAGACCUCAUGCUCAUGGAGCGGCCGAUAUCUGAUUAGCUAGUUGGUGGGGUAAAGGCCUACCAAGGCUUCGAUCUGUAGCUGGUCUGAGUGGACGACCAGCCACACUGGGACUGAGACACGGCCCAGACUCCUACGGGAGGCAGCAGUGGGGAAUUUUGGACAAUGGGCGCAAGCCUGAUCCAGCAAUGCCGCGUGCAGGAUGAAGGCCUUCGGGUU
rnacentral:rRNA from 1 species